ensembl:processed_transcript
AUCUUUUCGCGACUCCAGAGUCGUGCUAACUGGAAGUAGAGGCUGGAAAUCUUAAAGAGAGGCGACAAGACUGACUCCAGAAGCACAGGUCCGGGAACUGACAGAGACUCGCAGUCUAAAGCAGAUUGCCCUGUCGUGAAGAAACCCCUUCGGAAGACCCGAAGCAACGGUCUUCCUGCAGAGAGCAGAAAAUGGCUCAUGACCAGCCUCUGCUGGUUGUGCAGGAGGCCCUGAGGAAGUGCUUCCCUGUGGUGGAGGAACAGCAGGACCUGUGGCAGAGCACCCUGCAGGACUGCUCGCCCCUCCUGUCCUCUCUCAGUAACCUGGCUGAGCAGCUGCAAGCUGCACAGAGUCUGCGCUUUGAGGAUGUGCCAGCCCUGCGUCCCU